UUUUUUUUUUUUUUUUUUUUUUUGUCCGGAGCUGGGGACCGAACCCAGGGCCUUGCGCUUGCUAGGCAAGCACUCUACCACUGAGCUAAAUCCCCAACCCCUUCUUGUCUUUCUUAAGUGUUCAUGCAGUGAGAACAACUGGCCUCUUCUUCCUGCUGCUGUGCCUGCCCUGCUGUGGUGGAGUGCAUCCCCCUGUAACUCUCUCAUCCAAUAGAAGCCUUUCUUGCCUUCAGGGACAAAACAACCCAAAAACCAAAACCAAAAACCAAAACAAAAAAAAAAAAAACCCAACAAAACAAAACAAAACAAAACAAAACCCCAUCUUCUUUAGACCUUAAAAACAGAAUGACCAAUAGUGCUUGACAUUGACUCUGUUUCUUCUAGGCAUGGAACCAGAGAUAACCUGGGAACUUGGGAACUUGCUGGUGUUUCAGUCCUCAGAGAGCUGAAGGAAAUAUCUGGGUACCCAGAUGUGGUGGUGGACCCACUGGACUUCCCAAUGCAUGCACCCUGAUUGCAAUUGAUAGCAUAUCAACAUGGAAUCUUCGUAAUUUUUAAUAAAUAUAUUGGCUCAUUU
rnacentral:lncRNA from 1 species